GACGGGGGGGGCAAGUGUUCUUCGGAAUGACUGGGCGUAAGGGCACGUAGGCGGUGAAUCGGGUUGAAAGUGAAAGUCGCCAAAAAGUGGCGGAAUGCUCUCGAAACCAAUUCACUUGAGUGAGACAGAGGAGAGUGGAAGUUUCGUGUGUAGGGGUGAAAUCCGUAGAUCUACGAAGGAACGCCAAAAGCGAAGGCAGCUCUCGAUGGGUCCCUACCGACGCUGGGGUGCGAAAGCAUGGGGAGCGAACAGG
rnacentral:rRNA from 1 species